ACAAGCGGUGGAUGAUGUGGAUUAAUUCGAUGCAACGCGAAAACCUUACCUACCCUUGACAUGUCCGGAAUCCCGAAGAGAUUUGGGAGUGCUCGCAAGAGAACCGGAACACAGGUGCUGCAUGGCUGUCGUCAGCUCGUGUCGUGAGAUGUUGGGUUAAGUCCCGCAACGAGCGCAACCCUUGUCAUUAGUUGCCAUCAUUUGGUUGGGCACUCUAAUGAGACUGCCGGUGACAAACCGGAGGAAGUGGGGAUGACGUCAAGUCCUCAUGGCCCUUAUGGGUAGGGCUUCACACGUCAUACAAUGGCCGGUACAAAGGGCAGCGACAUUGCGAGAUGGAGCGAAUCCCGAAAAGCCGGUCUCAGUCCGGAUUGGAGUCUGCAACUCGACUCCAUGAAGUUGGAAUCGCUAGUAAUCGUGGAUCAGCAUGCCACGGUGAAUACGUUCCCGGGCCUU
rnacentral:rRNA from 1 species